rnacentral:piRNA from 2 species
UGGACUCGUUAGGUAUGGAUGUCGC